AAGUCUCUCUCAGAUGGUAGCUCUGCAGCUUUUCCUUGAGUUUCCAGAUUUUAUUAGAGCAUUUUUUUUCUUGACUGAGUCCAGAAACUCACCAAAAUCAGAUUGGGUCUGACUUAGAAACCAGACUUGGUCUGCAAUUUGACUGGGUCCAGCUUAGAAACCGGACUGAGUCUAGAGUCGGACUGGGUCUGAUGUAAGUUGUUCUGAGUCCGCUUGAGACCACAGGUGAAUAAAAUAUUGUUUUAGGGCUGGACAAAUAGGCUCACCUUACCAAAGAUAAUCUUGAAUCACAGUGGCCACAGUGGAGAACUUUUAACCUAGAUAAUCUUAUCAUCUUUAUCAUAGAAAAAAAGGGGUCUCAGCCAGAUAUUCAUCAUAAAGCAUAGAGGGAAAAUGAUUUUUCCUCCUCUAAAAUUUUUGGUGACCAGGAUGGGACCAGCUGGGACACCCUACUCACUGCAAACAGGAUCCUAGGAGAACUGGCAGAAGCCAUCAAAGAGACUGGAAACUCUUCGGUUGCCAGCAACUUAAAAAAUCAGGUAAAUUAGGAAAGCCAUCUCCUAGCAGGUGCAGAAAUCUCAAAGUAUUUUGGGGACCUUGAAAAGGGAGGAAUUCACCCAGAUAUGUAGAUAACUCAGGUGAAAUCAUUGACAAGCCUUUGCCAUGGCUUUCCUGGCCUUGAGAGGCCUUUUAAAAAUUCAAUCCGAGGUGCCAAAUAAUAGGUUCCAGCAAAGCCAAUUUCAAAUGAGCCUGUAUGAGUAACUACACUUCUGUAAAUCAUCAGGCCAAGAUUUUUGAAGCCAGAAUUAUUUAGCAAACAAAUUAGUCUUAAUUUGGCUAUAUUUGGUAGAAAUGAGGGUAAUUUUAGAGAGAAAAAGAUCAUGUUUCUAUGGAGAGUAAAUUCAAGUUUUGUUAAUUGAGGUCUAUACUUACUAAGAGCCACUUCCCAAAUAUCUCUGUAUUAUUAUAUUCUUGUAAAUUUUAGCUGAAUCAUUAAAAGGACACUCUAGUUUGUUACUGAAGUUUUUCUCAUUAAUCCAUCUUUGGAUGAAGAUCAUAUGCCCCAUGACCUGCAACCAGGGGAUUAUGCAUACUGGAGAAGACAUCAUUUAAAGACUGUCUCCAACCUAGAUGGUAGGACCCUUAUCAGGUCCUCUUCACUAGCUCAUGCACAGUGAACAUGAAGGGAAUUGACUCUUGGAUUAAUAUUUCCACUUAAAAAGGGCACCUGAAAUGGACUGGCCUAUACAGAGCACUGCCGACCUCAAAAUCACCUUAAAACAAUGCUCAAACAGAGGAGAAACUACCAGACCACGAUGGUAAGAAGAAGACAUCUAAAGUAGACAGCUGAUCCAAGAUGCCAAACCCGGCCUGUAUACCAGUUACUUUGAUAAUUGCUUACACUUGCUUAUGAACUAAACGUAUUUCACAAUCUUAAGCAGAGUUAAAAUUAAUUGAAUUGUUGAGUUUAUGGUCAAUUACCUAUAUCCAGUACUUCUGGUUACCUUGGUGGAUUUCUCCACUCCAAGGCUCUAAUUGGAUGGCCCUUAGGAAAUUAUUCUAGAAGAAAGAAGUUAUAGUUCUGUUUGGGCCACUAUUGAUAUUACUGGAUGGGACUCCCUCACUUGGCCAAUCAAUCAUAGCUGCUCUGACCAUUGCCAUAAAUAUAAAAGACCCCCCUUAUGUUGGGAAUAAUUCAACCAUACUAAGGAUAGCCAGGCUAAAUAAUACAAGGAAAUGUGUCUGGGUGCCUUAUGAACAAUGCCAGUAUAUCAUUUCCUUUAAAGGUAAGGAUUGGUACAGAACAGAUUAAGUCAGAUGACCUAGGGGUAUACUGUGUGGAACCUAAUGGAAGUUCUUGGCUUAAAUUCUUACUUAUAACCUUACAAAUACUACUAGCCAUAUUACUUGUAUUCUACCUAUUUUAUAAGAUUGUUGUUUCUUUCCUUACCAAAUAUGUGACUGAGCCUCUGAUAAAAUAAUAAGAAGGUGACUUAAGGCUGUUGACCAGAUAUAUAGUUCUAUACAAGAUCAAUGAUGGUAAUAGUGUAACUUUAGAUAUGGAAAGAAGCAUCAAGAGGGAAUAAUUUCCUGGACCAUAACAGACUAGUAAAUCAGUGGUCCAGAGACUUUUGGCUAUAGUUAAUAGGGCCUAGUCCAGUAAUAGCACACUGAGUGGCCUAUCAGUGAGAUCUUUGCCUGGGACAAAAUGAUGAUGAAAUGCCUCCCAAACCAUGGUCGAAUUUAUGACCAUGAGAGGGCACUGCCAACUAAAAAUGGUCACUUGCCAUCUGUCACUACAAGUAUGAUAUCACUAGCCAAUGCAGUCACUGACUUUUGACACACCCUGAAAAGAGUUCAUGGUGGAGAUCAGGAAUGAGGUACUCCGUGCUCUGGAAGGAUCUGGCAGAACAGGUCUUCAGAUAGUUAGAUAUUUUCAGGAGAAGAUUUCAUGAACCUGAUUUCUUGCUUCUUCCUAUAUCUAGAAAGUAUCUAGAAAAUCACUAAAAUCAUUAACGGAGACAUCUGCUCCUCAUGACUAGCAGCAACCUUCUUGUGACCGGCAGCAACCCUCUGCCAGAAAUGUGUACUUGAUUGCAUGUAUCCCUCUUCACUAAAAUCACGUAUAUACUGACCUCCCUCCACCUCUUUAGAGCAGUUCCUCAGAGAUAUCUGAGAGGCUUCUCCUGGGCUAUAGUCCUCAUUUUGCCCCAAAGAAAACUUAACUCACAACUCUCACAUUGUGCAUUGUUUUUCAGUCGACACCUUCAAACUAAAAAUUUAAAAUAAAAUGUCUUCAUUUUUGACAAGCA